rnacentral:rRNA from 1 species
CUAGUGACCGAUAGUGAACCAGUACCGUGAGGGAAAGGUGAAAAGCACCCCGGGAGGGGAGUGAAAUAGAACCUGAAACCGUGUGCCUACAACAAGUUCGAGCCCGUUAAUGGGUGAGAGCGUGCCUUUUGUAGAAUGAACCGGCGAGUUACGAUAUGAUGCGAGGUUAAGUUGAAGAGACGGAGCCGUAGGGAAACCGAGUCUGAAUAGGGCGAAUUAGUAUCAUGACGUAGACCCGAAACCAUGUGACCUACCCAUGAGCAGGUUGAAGGUGCGGUAAGACGCACUGGAGGACCGAACCAGGGCACGUUGAAAAGUGCUUGGAUGACUUGUGGGUAGCGGAGAAAUUCCAAACGAACUUGGAGAUAGCUGGUUCUCUCCGAAAUAGCUUUAGGGCUAGCGUCGACAUAAAGAUUCUUGGAGGUAGAGCACUGUUUGGGUGAGGGGUCCAUCCCGGAUUACCAAUCUCAGAUAAACUCCGAAUGCCAAUGAAUUAUGGUCGGCAGUCAGACUGCGAGUGCUAAGAUCCGUAGUCGAAAGGGAAACAGCCCAGACCACCAGCUAAGGUCCCAAAAUAAUUGUUAAGUGGAAAAGGAUGUGGGGUUGCACAGACAACUAGGAUGUUAGCUUAGAAGCAGCUAUUCAUUCAAAGAGUGCGUAAUAGCUCACUAGUCGAGUGACCCUGCGCCGAAAAUGUACCGGGGCUAAACAUAUUACCGAAGCUUUGGAUUGAUAUUUUAUCAAUGGUAGGAGAGCGUUCUUAACCGCGAUGAAGGUAUACCGUGAGGAGUGCUGGAGCGCAUAGAAGUGAGAAUGCCGGUAUGAGUAGCGAAAGACAGGUGAGAAUCCUGUCCACCGUAAGACUAAGGUUUCCAGGGGAAGGCUCGUCCGCCCUGGGUUAGUCGGGACCUAAGGAGAGACCGAAAGGUGUAUCCGAUGGACAACAGGUUGAUAUUCCUGUACUAGAGUAUGUAGUGAUGGAGGGACGCAGUAGGCUAACUAAAGCAGACGAUUGGAAGUGUCUGUCUAAGCAGUGAGGUGUGAAUUGAGUUAAAUGCUUAGUUCUAUAACAUUGAGCUGUGAUGGGGAGCGAAGUUUAGUAGCGAAGUUAGUGACGUCACACUGCCAAGAAAAGCUUCUAGCGUUAAACAUACUCUACCCGUACCGCAAACCGACACAGGUAGUCGAGGCGAGUAGCCUCAGGUGAGCGAGAGAACUCUCGUUAAGGAACUCGGCAAAAUGACCCCGUAACUUCGGGAGAAGGGGUGCUCUUUAGGGUUCACGCCCAGAAGAGCCGCAGUGAAUAGGCCCAAGCGACUGUUUAUCAAAAACACAGGUCUCUGCUAAACCGUAAGGUGAUGUAUAGGGGCUGACGCCUGCCCGGUGCUGGAAGGUUAAGAGGAGUGGUUAGCUUCUGCGAAGCUACGAAUCGAAGCCCCAGUAAACGGCGGCCGUAACUAUAACGGUCCUAAGGUAGCGAAAUUCCUUGUCGGGU